UACGUAGGGGGGCAAGCGUUUGUCCGGAUUUAUUGGGCGUAAAGAGCGUGUAGGCGGCUUGGCAAGUCCGUUGUGAAAACUCGAGGCUCAACCUCGAGACGUCGAUGGAAACUGCCUCGCUAGAGUCCGGAAGAGGAGAGUGGAAUUCCGUGGUGUAGCGGUGAAAUGCGGCAGAUAUCAGGAAGAACACCCGUGGCUAAGGCGGCUCUCGUACGUACGGUACUGACGCUGAGACGCGAAAGCGUGGGGAGCGAACAGG
rnacentral:rRNA from 1 species